rnacentral:rRNA from 1 species
UGGGGAAUAUUGCACAAUGGGCGCAAGCCUGAUGCAGCGACGCCGCGUGGGGGAUGACGGCCUUCGGGUUGUAAACCUCUUUCAGCACAGACGAAGCGCAAGUGACGGUAUGUGCAGAAGAAGCACCGGCCAACUACGUGCCAGCAGCCGCGGUAAUACGUAGGGUGCGAGCGUUGUCCGGAAUUACUGGGCGUAAAGAGCUCGUAGGUGGUUUGUCGCGUUGUUCGUGAAAACUCACAGCUUAACUGUGGGCGUGCGGGCGAUACGGGCAGACUGGAGUACUGCAGGGGAGACUGGAAUUCCUGGUGUAGCGGUGGAAUGCGCAGAUAUCAGGAGGAACACCGGGUGGCGAAGGCGGGUCUCUGGGCAGUAACUGACGCUGAGGAGCGAAAGCGUGGGGAGCGAAC